rnacentral:tRNA from 1 species
AGUUGGUAGUGCGUCUGCCUUGUAAGCGCUAGGCCGCGGGUUCGAUUCCCGCCCGGGGCG